UGCUUACAUUUGAGCACUUUUUAACUGAAAGCCUAUUUGUUUUUCAACAUUAAGUCGCUUGACUGAAGAAGAGGAGGAUGAAGAUGAAGGAAAAGAAUUUGCAGCUGAGGUUGAAAACUCUUUUCCCCAGCUUUACAAGAUAUUUAUGACACAUAUUCCUACUGAAAAUUCGGAGCUGAGCAGUGCAGUUUUACAAGCUUUAGGAUUCUGUGUGUGUAAUCCAAAGAUUGCUUCCUUAUUAUGCGGUAAAUACCUUUUUGUAUUAAACACAUUGAUAAACACUAAUCAAUUUGACUAACCAGUUUCUUCCAGUGACUGACAUCCAUAGUCUAUGUCAGGGGUCUUCAAACUUGACAGCUUGAAGACUGGUGGACUUCCA
rnacentral:lncRNA from 1 species